GGGUAGCUGGCCGAGCGGUCGAAGGCACCGGUCUUGAAAACCGACGGGCGCGCGAGCGUCCCCUGGGUUCGAAUCCCAGGCUACCCGCCA
rnacentral:tRNA from 1 species